GUCUGCUCAAUCAAGCUGUUAAAAAAAUGAAGGACUUUAACAAAGAUCUAAAAGAUGGACCUUUCCUUCUUCUGUAUCCGGAUGGCACUGAGGUCAUUACUGUCCCUGGAACACAAAGACCAUUUACACUUGAGGCUUAUAAGGCUGAAGUUGGCAAGCCUUAUCAAAGAAUCACUGUUUUCAUCUGCUUGAAGAGUGACUUUGAAGAUGUUGGAGAAAACUCAGACUUGUCUGACUCUGACCCAGAGAUUGUUAUUAAAAGGCCCUCUGAGUUUGAUCUUGCUGAUACACUGCCAUGGGAACUUCAACAUGAAAGCAGUCCUUUACAGAAAGCGGCAGAAUAUGAGAAGGGUGCUGGGGAUCUUGUGCUUGCUAAUGAAGUACAACAGGU